ensembl:lncRNA
CAUACCUAAGUGGUGACUUUGGGCUUAAAAUUGUGUUAACAUUGUGAAUGUUGGUUUUGAAUGACUUUACUACCUGUGGAUCAUUAUCAAAGUGACUAAUCCUUCUUAAGAGUGGAGCAUAUGCGUCAAGUUUUACUCAACAACAAUCUGAGAAUACUGUGAAACUGGAGAAAUGCCUUAAGCUCAUACAGCAACUUACAUGCAUUCUAAGGAAGAAGGUAAAACAAAAGAUGUUGUAUUUCCUGUACAUUAAAGUAUAAGUGGUGCCAAAGGAAUCCCCAGAACAGAAAGAGAAGGUAGAAUCUGUUAUUCCCAGAGAUCAUUCUUGAGAUCCACAGCUGAGCUACUGCAGCAUUAGCUGACCAGACAGCUCCUGACCAAGCCUCGGCUUCUAGCAGACAUUGAAUUAUCUCUCCUACUGAAGCAAUGUGAAUCAUAGCAAAGGACUCAUGGAGAAUGGAGAGCCAUGUAUCGUCAGCACAAUGAUAGCAUCUAGUUCAGCAUCUCACUUCUAAACUUCUCAGUGGUUUCCAUAACACUUUGAGUAGGAGGAAAGAAGAGGAGGCAAGGACUAGUCAUACAAUUAGGCAAAUGGCUGUCUACUAUUUACUACUUCCCUGCUACACGUUUUCCCACAAAUACAAGCUCAGUCUCUCCCUAUCUAUACUUGCUGAGGCUGUGGGCUAGUUUAGAAUAGAAUGUAAGCAGCAGAGCACUCAUCAGCUGAAGUCAGCUGAACAAUACACAACAUUGACACAGACAACUUGCUGUUAAUAUCAUCUAGUGAAACUCAUCAUUAGUAUCAUAAAAUAUUUUUAGUUCAAUGCCUGAAGCCACCUAAAAUGGGUGUUAAGAAAUUCAAAAGAAUUUAUUCUUAUGAAAGGUCCUAUCAUCCUUCUUUUCUAGAACCAGGAUAUUCAAGCCAGCUUGCAACAGUCAUAAAUUCUCACAAAUUGCUGACCCAACAGAGGGUUUUCAUCUAUGUGCAUGCGGAUGUCACAAAUAGCCAUUAUGCUCACUGAAACAAAGCUACAGAAAAAUCUGAAAACUUACCCAAAGUAAGUCUACAGUAGUCUAGAGCAAGCUGAAUGCUUAUGGCAUCAAUACUAUUUUAGUGGUGUCUGCAUGCACAAAUAUUUUAGUACAGUGUUUUCAGGAUAGUCCCACAAUAAAGGGUAGAGUCAAUGUGAUAUAUAUAUAUAGUAUAUAGAUAUAAAUAGCCAUCCACUUGAAUCUACUGAUCAACUUUUCUCACUAACAAGAGAAACUGCUUUUUAAAAGACUGUACACAGCUAGCCCAGCUCCCCAGGUGACCUGAAAGGAAUAAAAUUCUUGUGAUAGGUAAAGCAAGAAGGCUAGGAUAAAGCUACAUUAAACUGGGAGUAAAUGAAUACAUGAAAUUUGUUCCUACUCUGACCAAUGUUAUUAAUUUCCAAAUGACAUAAAAUGAGAAGGAAAGAUGAUUCUGUGCAUAUCCUUUUCAUCUAUACCCUUCUCACGGUUCCACAUCUCAGAAAGAAGAGACUGUUGUAUCACAAGUUUACUUCAUUCGUGUUCUCUUACAGGAGAUGGAAAGGAAAAGAACUGAUGGUUUGCAGGAAUGCAAAAUAAGGGCACUGGCUACGGCAAUGUCCAGAGAACACGUGGCUUGCAGAAGCUGGAUGGCUUCAUUCUCCCUUGGAAUAACGACACCCAGGAUCUGCCCAGCUCCAGAGCCAUCACUAAGGAUGUGCUAUAUAUAACACAGGAUAUAAGGAUAUAUAUAUGUAUAUAACACAGAUAUAACAAAGGAUGUGUUAGAUACAUGUUUUAAGGGUCAGGCAACUAGGGCAAGUGUAAUUUUACCACUGCAUGUCCUCCAUGAACAGGUGUUUCUCAAAUCAGAGAACAACCCAAGUUGGAAGUAUGGUCCACAGGGACCACUGAGACAAACUCCUGUCUCCACUCAGGACCACCCUGAAGCCCUCAUUCAAACCUUAUGUCUGAGAGCAUUGUCCAAACACCCCUUCAGCUCCGGCAGCUUGGGGCCAUGAUCACUCCCCUGGGGAGCUUUUUCCAUGCCCGUAGUCCUCUGGAGAAGAACCUUUUUCCAGUGCAGCUCCAUGAACUCAUCUGAGUCCGUUGUACAGCCCAAUUAUUCAGGCCUCUGGUUGGGUAGCAGAAUUAUGUUUGGCCAAUGAGGCUGCCAAAUACUUCAAAAAACAACUGGCUACUAGGCAUUAUGUUGGUCCUGGUGUCACACAGAUGGCACUUCUUGGUUAGUUUCAGGGAAAAAGUGUCAGAGCAGGGAUCUGAGAAGACUUGAAGUACAAUUUUACCUUAGUCCUACAGAUACAGGGUACUGCCAAAGGUGUGAAAUUCUUAAAUAGAAAUAUCAAGAAUAUUACAAAGAAUAAUCUACAGGUGUGAUAGUAUAAUUUAAAAGAUCCCACUGAACCCUGGCUUUCAGCUAUUACUCUGACAUGUACAUAUAAAGACUCUCAAUUUCCCCCAGUUUUUUCACCACUCAUAAUUUUCUAUACAUUACACAAUAAUUCCCAUUUAUACACUAAUUCUCUUUCUCCUUUCAUCUGUUAACCGUCAGGUUCCCAAAUGCCUACAGUACAUGUGUUGCCUCUGCCUUCAGUGUUUUUCCAUCCUCUUCCACUCCUUCAUUGCUCAUCUUCAUUCUCAAACAAAUCCAGGACAGGUAGCUGUGUGCAGCACUCAGAUUAGCUAGCCUAAGCACAGGAAUCCCUAAAAGAUAACCAUGCUUCCGCAUGUGCAUCUGUUUCAGUAGUUGUUCUUACAUGUCUCUGAAUGUAUUUAACAUAAUUAUAUGUGUUAUUGCACCAGGAUUCAUCAUUAUAGAACAGUCAAAAAAGUCUAUCCCACAGAGUGUGGAGAGGGGAUUUUGAGGAAUGCAUUGUAAUACUACCAGUACAUCAUCUGUUUUGCUCUAUUUCCCAUAGUAUGUUAUUUAAUUUAGCCUUGAUAAAGUACUGGGAGGCUUUAAACCAUGCUCUUAGUCAUGAAAAUGUUCACAAAGCAGAAAACAGAAAAUGUUUUCUGCAUGGAACAAAGGGAACAAAAGGCAAGAAUUAUACCUAAAAGUACCAGGCUACAGUGUGAACAGAUUUUAUUGGACAUUUGUAUAAAAUGUCAGAGCACUUCAUUCUGGAGUAAUUCUGUCCUUAUUGCUCAUUUUUCUUCCCCCUUCUACUUCAGAGCUUCUUUUUCAGUACUUUUUUUUUUUUUUUUUUUUUUUUUUUUUUUUUUUACUUUUGAAAUCUCUACUUCUUAAAGACCACUUUUGCAUCCGUGUUUUUUUUCUUUUCUUUUUUUCCCCAUGGUUUUAAAUCUACAUGUUCAGAAGUAAAUCCUGUGGCUCCUCCUGUUUCCCAGCUGUUUAGUGCUUCUCAUGCUACCUCCCUCUUGCCUGCUUAAAGAAAACACAGGGGGGAUGCUUAGGAACUGAGAAAAGGAAAAUAGUGAAUGGUUUAAAACACUGAGGAUCACAAUAGCCAGAAAAGUUGUGAGACAGAGGACAGAAUAGUUGAAGUUGAGGCAGCUUAUUUUUAGUCCUUCUUUUCCCAGCAGCUUGUUUGCUUCCUAUAACUGAGUCUGGAUUGCAGUAACAUCUCUACAAAGUAUUUCAGAACAGCCUAAUGUCCUAACAAGGAGUAUGUCCAGUUUUCCAUUUUCAAGAAGUUCAGGCACCCUGCAAGCAAAACUUGGCUCUGUAAAAAUCUCAGAAGCGGGCAAUUUUAACUAGCCUGAGAGAGAGGAGGUAAGAGUGAUCCUGUCUGUAGUCAGCCUUUGCAGCCUCAAAGUAUGGACAUCUUCAGCAUUAGAGGAGCGCAGAGAUAAGGGAGGCAUUGUUGCACAUAUAACACUUCCCAUUUUCCAUGCUGCUUCAGCUGUUAAAUUUUCAUCUGCCUGUAGAUGCUGAAAUAUAUCCACAAAUUGAAGACUCCUAUACCUCAAAUGAAACUAACAUAUAAAGGAUAAUGUUUUACAAGUGAAAUGAAUAGGUAGAGUCCGCACAAACACUGAUUUCCAGGUAGGAUAACAUCAUAAACACAGGGAAAUUAAAUUAAUGGUUGAAUGAUAACAUUACUAAACUCCCAGCAUUAAUAAUCAGACAUAAAUCUUUAACUGUCUGUGACUGAGGACUCCUGUAUCUUGUUAUAACUCACCUCCCUACAGAAUACACAUCUCCUUCUAAAUAUAAAUAUUUGAAAUUACAAUCUAUGUGUGUUGGAGUAUGAUAAAAUGUGCAGGAAUUAACAGGUUGAUUCUAAAAAAUAACGUGUCUGGAAAGUAUAUAUUAAUACUAAAAACGGGGAAGCCGUCUUGCACUGGUCUUGUUUGUUUGCUCUUCAGUCAAUUUCAAUUAGUGUUCUUGAAACUGUAUGUGUGGAGUAAUAUUAGCUCUGAAAAAUCAGUAACCCCCAAUUUUUUACUGCAUUCAAGUACAGUUUUAUCUUACCUGUGCAUUAGCAAUGAGAGAGAAAUAAAAGAUAACUGAGGGAUUAUCUUUUGUCCUGGUUUCAUCUUUAAGACCAAAACCUACUAAAUCUGUCAUCUCUGCUACAGAUAAAUGGUUUGUAAAGUUUUGAAAUAAUCAUAUGCAUCCAAAAAUGGUGAAUUUCCAAAGUAAACUGGGAGUAAAAUAUCAAACCAGAGCACCUUCUGCAGGUCUGCCAGUACUCAGUCCACCUAUGUUUUAAGAAACAACCCCAAAAUCACCUCAAAACAUGUUGCAAACUUUUUUUUGUUUGUUUGUUUUUAAAUAUUCCUCACUGUCUUUAGCUUAGGAGCUGUAAUUUGACAAGCAGCUGACAUUGCAUUUUAAUAAUUAUGAUUAACCAAGUUAUAAAAGUUUUCAAUAUUUUAUUAUUUUUUUCUUUUUAGGUGCAUCAGCUUCUUGCUGAAUUAGUUAUUUCCUAACAUUUCUCAGUAGUGCAUGCUGCAUAUUAUAAGUCAACUGUGAUUUCAAGUGAUGUAUAAAGUAUAAUGAUUUUUUUUCCCAUAUUCUUUGUAUUGAUGAAGACAGAGAAAACACUGCAGCUCUGGUUUCAACCUUGAAAGAGCUACAAUCUGUUCUUUACUAUGUCACAUUCUUCAUCUGUAACAUGGGAACAGCAAUUGCUACGCUGUACCGUGAUGUGGGGUAUGAUCAAUGUGAUGUGCUCAGCUACUGCAGUAAAGAAAAACAAGAUGGGUAGCACUCCAGAAAAGACAAAAAGAUGAGUUAGUAUACAUGAAAGAACAGUGACAUUAGGACCUUUGUUUCUGAGUUUUAUUUGUAAGAUACAGAUCGGGAUUUACUGUUUAACACAUAUAAGGGGAAAGCUGACUUUGACUUGGUCUUGUGGGCUUUCCUUUCAGGAAACUCAUUUUUAACUUUGUGGACAGUACUCCAAAGCCACUUCCAAUUACAUUUUUUUCUGUAGGUGAAUCCCGCAUAGCUGGGAAACAGAAGAUAUGAAGACACACAUGCUCACAGGUGGUCCAUGUGCUCAUGGAUUUCAUGAGGAGCAUCCCACUGGUUUCAGCAGGAGACAGAUUCCAACCCCUCGGCACAGUAAAACCACACAUUUCUUCCAUCAGUGGCAUGGAGCACUGGCAGGGACACAAACCCAGUUCCUGAGGUCAGUACAUCUGCUCUGUUAAGCUGAACAAAGCCAUUGGAAAAAGUCUUGUAUUUGUUCUCCCAUACAAUUAUCUUUCUUCUACCCAGUAAGGUAUAACAUGACUUCCCUUAUUGCUUCAUUUACUUCAGAUUCUGAGAAGACAACACUUGCUCAGCUUUGCAAAAGCCAUCUGGGAUCUUCAGAUAUAAGGACUGAAAUGUUACCUGUUUCAACCUGCAGGAAUAUUGCCACCAGGUUUGGGAAGGCCUGGAUUUCACCUAAAGCACUGCAAACAACAUGUUUACAUCUGCAUCUUAUUGAUCGCUUUUUGUUGGCCUGUUUGAAAAAAGUAACAGGAGAAUGGGGGGGGGAACCACACACACACAAAAAAAAAAAAAAAAAAGAAAGAAAAAGAGAAAAAAUAAAUGAAUUGCAGGGUGGAAGGAGUGGGAAAAGAGCUCGGUUGUGAGGGAGCCACAGCAAUACUACUAAAACAACUACUUUGUUUUAUAUUGGGUCUACUUCCAUGGCAUCUAACACCACAUGUAAAUGCUAAUACUCCCUGAAUGUUAUCACUUCAUGAAGGUUCAACAGCAAAGUGAUCUAAAAGACAGUGCUGUAAUGAAAUGCCAUGAGGUUAGGAACUGUCAGCACUCCAUCGCAAACCACCACAACACGCAAUGAACUGGGAAAUGAGCAAACUUUCUCCAAUAUAUACUAAGGUAGAAAGAAUAAAAGAUAUAUAAAUGAAUAUUCUGUUAUCUGCAGACAUCACUGUGGUGUUACAACACCAGACAAGAACACAGUGCGUCAGAAAUGACAAAUAAGGGAUCCCACUUUUCUGAUCCUUUUAUUGGGAAGAUGUAGUGAUUUCUGAAUCUCCACCCAGAUAAGGAAACUUCAGUCUAAAAAUUUUCUGUUCUAUGAAAUACUCAUAGUUAAAGGCACUUCCACCUUUAAAAAUACUGAAUUAAAUGCUUGCUCUGCAAAAUGCACCUACACUGUAUGCAAGGAUGUUGACCUCUCGCCAUCGCUUCCUAUGAGUUCACACAACGCAGCGGUGACACGGGGCCAUGGGGAAGCCCCCGCACUCUGCACGCACGUGUCACCUCCCGCAC